UUCGUAGGGUGCGAGCGUUGUCCGGAAUUAUUGGGCGUAAAGGGCUCGUAGGCGGUUUGUCGCGUCGGGAGUGAAAACCUCGGGCUUAACUCGGGGCUUGCUUUCGAUACGGGCAGACUAGAGGUAUGCAGGGGAGAACGGAAUUCCUGGUGUAGCGGUGAAAUGCGCAGAUAUCAGGAGGAACACCGGUGGCGAAGGCGGGUCUCUGGGCCGAUACUGACGCUGAGGAGCGAAAGCGUGGGGAGCGAACAGG
rnacentral:rRNA from 1 species